GGCUUCGUAGCUCAGCGUGCAGGGCGAUUUUCGCAUUUAGGCAUGCUGUUUCUGUCGCUGGUUCGAAUCCAGUCGAAGCUC